rnacentral:rRNA from 1 species
GACGAACGCUGGCGGCGUGCUUAACACAUGCAAGUCGAACGGAAAGGCCCUGCUUUUGUGGGGUGCUCGAGUGGCGAAGGGGGGAGUAACACGUGAGUAACCUGCACUUGACUUUGGGAUAACUUCAGGAAACAGGGGCUAAUAUCGGAUAGGAGCUCUUGCUGCGUGGUGGGGAUUGGAAAGUGUCGGCGGUUGGGGAUGGACUCGCGGCUUAUCAGCUUGUUGGUGGGGUAGUGGCUUACCAAGGCUUUGACGGGUAGGCGGCCUGAGAGGGUGACCGGCCACAUUGGGACUGAGAUACGGCCCAGACUCCUACGGGAGGCAGCAGUGGGGAAUCUUGCACAGUGGGCGGAAGCCUGAUGCAGCGACGCCGCGUGCGGGAUGACGGCCUUCGAGUUGUAAACCGCUUUCGCCUGUGACGAAGCGUGAGUGACGGUACUGGGUAAAGAAGCACCGGCUAACUACGUG